AUGGUGGACGUCAUGGGCGGCGUCGCGUGGAUCAUCGGGGUGGCGCUCAAGAUCAAGGAGGCGGCCAGCACGGUCCACCAGAAUAAGAAGGACCGCCACCACAUCAAGAGGCGCGUCGAGAUACUCAACAAAACGCUUUCGCACCAUGAGAACAACACGGAGCUGAUGGAGGACUCUGCGGUGACGGCCGCGCUCGAGGCGCUCGAGGUCAUCACCGUGUGCCAGCAGGAGAGGUGCAUCCUCUGCGCUUUCUACACCGCCGGGAGGCUGUCCCGGAAGCUGGGCAAGGUGGAGCAGCGCAUAUCGUACCUCAACUCCGACGCGAUGCUGACCAUCAUGAGCUACCAGCUGCUCAGGAAGUUCCAUGAUGGUGCUCCACCACAUCCACCCACACAGAUUUACUCUCCUGGCACACACACGCCAUUGCAACCACCAAGUCGGUCACAAAAGGUAGUGAGGAUGAUACCAGUGUAUACCCCUACGCCAUAUAUGUGUCUGUAUAAAUGA
rnacentral:rRNA from 1 species